rnacentral:rRNA from 1 species
UACGUAGGGUGCGAGCGUUGUCCGGAAUUAUUGGGCGUAAAGAGCUCGUAGGCGGUGUGUCACGUCGGCCGUGAAAACCUGGGCUUAACUCUGGGCGUGCGGUCGAUACGGGCAUCACUAGAGUUCGGCAGGGGAGACUGGAAUUCCUGGUGUAGCGGUGGAAUGCGCAGAUAUCAGGAGGAACACCGGUGGCGAAGGCGGGUCUCUGGGCAGUAACUGACGGCUGAGGUGCGGAAAGCGUGGGGAGCAAACAGG